UGGCUCUCGCAUCGAUGAAGAACGCAGCGAAAUGCGAUAAGUAAUGUGAAUUGCAGAAUUCAGUGAAUCAUCGAAUCUUUGAACGCACCUUGCGCUCCUUGGUAUUCCGAGGAGCAUGCCUGUUUGAGUGUCAUUAAAUUCUCAACCUUAUUAGUUUUUUCAACUAAUGAUGGCUUGGAUGUGAGGGUUUGCUGGUUUCGAAAGAAGUCUGCUCCCUUCAAAUGUAUUAGCCGGUGCCCCGCGUGGACCGUCUAUUGGUGUGAUAAUUAUCUACGCUAUUAGACGUCUACAAUUAAUGGGUUGUGCUGCUUCUAACCGUCCAUUCAUUUGGACAAUUAAUGACUAUUUGACCUCAAAUCAGGUAGGACUACCCGCUGA
rnacentral:misc_RNA from 1 species